GGCCUCCCCGUCACAGCCGCCCUCCUCCAGAGUGACCGGGAACUCUGGCAAUAAACAAGGCCAUCAGCCGAGGUGCCAUUUCCAACAACGAAAGCUUGAACCCCCGUGGCAUUUAAACAAGAAGGAAAUAAUAUUAUUUCGAAAGUGAUAAGGGAGAAAUGCAAUAAGACAAUUCCUAGAUAACUGCAGGGAGAGGAUGGCUGCUGAUGAAAUAACCACCUUUCAAAGUGAGGAAACAAUGUGAUUUUUCUGCCCGCACCGAGAAACAGAGCACACACGGCAGCCGCCUGGUCUCGGGAGCAGCCCCUGCCCCACUGCGGUUGCAGGAAGUGAUUAAUUAGUGCCUUCUUGCGGCGGCGACCUUAGGAAGCCACUGGGGGAGUUUUAUGUGCACGUCACAGAACUGUAUCCUUCCAGAAUCCUCCUUUUAGAGCCCAACAAUGGGGCACGUCUCCAGCAGUCCCCAGCACCCGCGCCAGGGCUCCCGGAGGACGGAGGUCUGGCUUAGAAAGAACUGUCUUCUCCGCGCCCCCUCUGUAAAGGGAGGAAACACCACUCACGACAGAAUUCCAAGGGAAGGGAGGCAAGCGAGUAGGAGCCUGGCGUCCUGCUCCCGCGUCCCCGCGCUCUCGCUCUCCCUCUGCCCGCACCCAGUCAGCCCCGGCCAACCCAUCGGGCCGGUCCCAGAGACCCAGCCUGUCCUCACUCAAACUGUGGCACGUUGCUGUGAGACCCCAGCAGCCCCCUAUUUUAAUGUUUCGACUGGGAAAUGGCAAAAGUAAGAUUCUCUUAUGUCGUGACAGACCCGUCCCGUCAGUGGCACCUCCUCUCACAUCCCUGGUGGGAGGCGUGACCUCUGGGCUCAUCCUGCUGGGAAGUCAGAUCCCUAUUUUAGGUUCACACAGCCUCACGUACCGUGUGAGGAGAACAGCGGGGAAGCACCGGUGCAGCAUCAGGAGUCAGGGAGCCAGCAUGAAACAGCAGGAGACGGCAGCCGAGAGCCACCCAAAUUCUGAGCCUUCUGACAAAAGCGAACGAUUGACUGGACCAGCUUACAACACGCCUCAAUCCCUCCCCAGGACGAAAAGCAAGGAGCAGCGUGCCACGAGGUUCUGCAAGAACACACGGGAGACAACUCCACCCCCCUCGAUGCGCAGGAACGCAGCACAUUAUGGUAUUUUUUUCACGGUGGGAUUCAGGAUAAUCAGUCCAUUCUUGGGAAAGAGGAACGCUCGCACAUUUACUUGUUCUCAGUUGGUGAUUAGUUCUGGCAUCGACUUACGUGUGCUUCAAAGAUGCAGAGAGAGGGAGGGAUCGAGGGAGCGAGGGAGCGAGGGAGCGAGGGAGCAGGCCUGCAAACCUAUCAGGGGCCCCUGGAGACACCCAGGCCCCCAGACCCGGGGCAGACGGGGGACACGCACACGGCGCCGCGAGAGGGUGCCAGGAGCCUCCCUCAGGCAGAGUCGCCAGCUCCCCUUGGGGCCCCCGAUCCCAGGCCUUAUCACGGCCCCAUGUGUUUGCAUCACAGGCGUGUCGGGUCCCGGAGCACAGGCCUCCCCCGCGCUGGUGGAGCCUGGGAGCCAGGAACGCACUCUGGACCGUCCGCUUCUAUGCCCAGAAUUGCAAACUCCUGUUGGCAUCACAGAACACUCGCUCUUGUGA
rnacentral:lncRNA from 1 species